GAAAGGGGAAAGAUGGUUGUAACAGUAGGUCGUUAAUCGACCGACAGAUGACGUCGUUGGCUUGUAACAAACUGUUCAAGUAGCAUUCGAGCAAGAAAGAAUCCAAGAUGGAGAGCAGAGCGUGCGUUUGCACAUGUAUAAACCGGGCUAUCGACCCGGAUGUUUUGUUCUAAAGGAUGCUCACUUCGCUGAAGUUUCACACAUUUAUCGAUAAUCUUUAUCGUUUUUGGAUCAAAUGGAAAAUAAUUUUUAUCGUGAUCAAUAGAUAGGAUGGGUUAGUGAAAUGAAUAUAAAUGAAGAAUUCUUUUAUUUAUAUAUGAACUUGUUGGAAGAAGACAAAGAAAUAAAACAAAUAUUAUAUGCUUCAUGUUUCGAAAUUGUUACGAAGACAGUUAUACGACAUGAACAGAACGAUCGAAAAAGUUUCAAGGUCUGAAUUGAGAAAUCGUGCGGUAAUCCAUCAUAUGUGUUCGUUAAUCUGACAGAUUUACAACUCUCUUCAAGUUUGCGAGAAGUACGGUACAAGAGAGCGUAAGAUAAUAUCAGACACAUUACCAUGAUUUAUAAGCGAUACGUAUUGAACUUGAUACCAUCGAUAUAAACAUUGGACCGAAUUGCUCUCUCUCUCUCUC